rnacentral:lncRNA from 1 species
CUGUGCCAGAGCUCUGUGCCAGUGUUCUGUGCCAUGCCAGAGCUCUGUGCCAGUGUUCUGUGCUGUGCCAGAGCUCUGUGCUGGUGCUGCUUCUACUACUUCUGCUGUGCCAGGGGAAUCUGGCAUCCUGCUGUGUGCUGUGCUGGUGCUCCGUGCUGUGCCGUGCCCUGCGCUGUGCCAGCCUCGCUCUGCCCGGUGCCAGGGUGCUGUGCCAGCGCUUCCCCCUGUGCCAGAGCUCUGUGUCAGUGUCACGCUCUGCCUGGUGUCACUCUGUGCUGGUGUCACUCUCUGUAUCAGUGUCACACUCUGCCCGGUGUCACACUCUGCCCGGUGUCACUCCGUGCUGGUGUCACUCUCUGUGUCAGUGUCACGCUCUGUGCCGGUGUCACUCUGUGCUGGUGUCACACUCUGUGCCGGUGUCACUCUCUUGUGUCAGUGUCACACUCUGCCCGGUGUCACUCGCUGUGUCAGUGUCACGCUCUGUGCCGGUGUCACUCUCUGUGUCAGUGUCACACUCUGCCCGGUGUCACGCUCUGUGCCGGUGUCACUCCGUGCUGGUGUCACUCUCUGUGUCAGUGUCACACUCUGCCCAGUGUCACACUCUGUGUCAGUGUCACACUCUGCCCGGUGUCACACUCUGUGCCAGUGUCACUCCGUGCUGGUGUCAGUCUCUGUGUCAGUGUCACACUCUGCCCAGUGUCACACUCUGUGCCAGUGUCACACUCUGUGUCAGUGUCACACUCUGCCCAGUGUCACACUCUGUGUCAGUGUCACACUCUGCCCGGUGUCACACUCUGUGCCAGUGUCACUCCGUGCUGGUGUCAGUCUCUGUGUCAGUGUCACACUCUGCCCAGUGUCACACUCUGUGCCAGUGUCACACUCUGUGUCAGUGUCACACUCUGCCCAGUGUCACACUCUGUGUCAGUGUCACACUCUGCCCGGUGUC